rnacentral:rRNA from 1 species
GACGAACGCUGGCGGCGUGCUUAACACAUGCAAGUCGAACGGAAAGGCCCUGCUUUUGUGGGGUGCUCGAGUGGCGAACGGGUGAGUAACACGUGAGUAACCUGCCCUUGACUUUGGGAUAACUUCAGGAAACUGGGGCUAAUACCGGAUAGGAGCUCCUGCUGCAUGGUGGGGGUUGGAAAGUUUCGGCGGUUGGGGAUGGACUCGCGGCUUAUCAGCUUGUUGGUGGGGUAGUGGCUUACCAAGGCUUUGACGGGUAGCCGGCCUGAGAGGGUGACCGGCCACAUUGGGACUGAGAUACGGCCCAGACUCCUACGGGAGGCAGCAGUGGGGAAUAUUGCACAACGGGCGGAAGCCGGAUGCAGCAACGCCGCGUGCGGGAUGACGGCCUUCGGGUUGUAAACCGCUUUCGCCGGUGACGAAGCGUGAGUGACGGUAAUGGGUAAAGAAGCACCGGCUAACUACGUG